UUUAAAACGUUGAAAAGGAAUAGUACGGUUUUCCAAGCGAACAGAGAGCUGUUGAAUGGUGCGAAACAGCCGUGGAGAGAAUCGGAACUCGCCUUGGAGUUGCUCGCUGAACCCGUAAAGUAGGUGGAGCCGGAGCCUGACCGUUAUCUUCAGGAGGAUACAAGGUUUAUCCGUUUUUGGAAACCCUGUAUCCGUAGAGUGCAUGCCAACGACGGCAUGAAUUCGGAGUGGUACCGCGUAAGAUGUCAAAGUCUUUCGUCUCCUGA
rnacentral:ncRNA from 1 species